rnacentral:lncRNA from 1 species
AUUUACUGCACAUUGUAAUGGAAAAUGUACAAGUUUGUUAAAGCUAAAUUUUGAAAUAUAGUGUUCAUCUUGAUGAUCUUGUAAGAAGUAUAACCCUGAAGAUACUUCAGCAACUCCAAUCACCUUCCAUGAGUGGAGAUCCUGGAUAACACAAAUCUCAUCAGUGAACAAAAUUGAAGAUUUUUUACAAAAGGUGAGCUUGCUACUGAUACAAGAUUAAAAUGGAAUGAUGGUACACACAAAACAUUGUUAAAGUCAACAAAAAAUUCAGUUUAACUAUUCCUAUGUGAGUAACAAUGGCUCUAGCCUUAUUUGGUAGAUUAAAAAAAUAAUCUCUAACUGGUACAUCAAAAACAAAAUCAGACAAAGAACAUGAUAUGUGAUCAGUAACACCAGUGUCUAUUAUCCAAGAAUCUUGUUUAAACAUGGACCUAUUUACAUUUUAUAUUUGAGUGGAAGAUUAUAUGAAGUAUUGAAAUAGGAUACACUAGAAAUGUUACUUGGAAAAGCUGAAUUUACCAAAGAAGGCUUUGUUGGCUGAGUAUUUGAUGAACUUGCAAUACAAUCUUCACUGUUUAUACCACUCUCUCUAAA